rnacentral:rRNA from 1 species
AGGUUGGCUCAGAAGCAGCCAUCCUUUAAAGAGUGCGUAACAGCUCACUAGUCGAAUGACUCUGCGCCGAUAAUUUACCGGGGCUAAGCAUACUACCGAAGCUAUGGAUCCCAAGGGAUGGUAGGGGAGCGUUCCAUGAACGGAGAAGUACGACCGAAAGGACGUGUGGAGAUCAUGGAAGAGAGAAUGCCGGUGUGAGUAGCGGAACGUGGGUGAGAAUCCCACGCACCGAAAACCCAAGGUUUCCAGAGGAAGGUUCGUCCGCUCUGGGUAAGUCGGGACCUAAGGCGAGGCCGAAAGGCGUAGUCGAUGGACAACAGGUAGAGAUUCCUGUACCCGUAUAUAUGUGAAGGAAUGACGGAGAGAGGAAGCUGCAGCCAGCGGCUGGAAGAGCUGGUGCAAGCGAGAUAUCGGGAUGGCAGGCAAAUCCACCAUCCGAAACGAGAAGGCGUGAAGCGUACGGAAAGCUACGGCGAGUACGGAAGGCAGUGGAGGAACUUCCAAGAAAAGUUUCUAACGUAAAGUAUAUAUGGCCCGUACCGAAAAUGGACACACAUGGGUGAGGAGAGAAUCCUAAGGUGAGCGAGAGAACUAUAGCUAAGGAACUCUGCAAAAUGACUCCGUAACUUAGGGAGAAGGAGUGCUCAUAGAGAUAUGAGCCGCAGUGAAACGGCCCAAGCGACUGUUUACCAAAAACACAGCUCUCUGCUAAGCCGCAAGGCGAAGUAUAGGGGGUGACGCCUGCCCGGUGCUGGAAGGUUAAGGGGAGGGGUUAACGCAAGUGAAGCCCUGAACUGAAGCCCCAGUAAACGGCGGCCGUAACUAUAACGGUCCUAAGGUAGCGAAAUUCCUUGUCAGGUAAGUUCUGACCCGCACGAAAGGCGUAACGAUUUGGGCGCUGUCUCAGCUGUAGACUCGGUGAAGUCUUAGUACCUGUGAAGAUGCAGGUUACCCGCGACUAGACGGAAAGACCCCAUGGAGCUUCACUGCAGGUUGAUAUUGGGAUUUGAUGCAGCAUGUACAGGAUAGGUAGGAGGCAAAGAGAUGGAUACGCCAGUAUUCAAGGAGCCGCUGUUGGGAUACUACCCCUGUUGUAUUGGAUUUCUAACCGGACGACGUAGAGCCGUUGACGGGACAGUGUCAGUCGGGCAGUUUGACUGGGGCGGUCGCCUCCCAAAGAGUAACGGAGGCGCCCAAAGAUACCCUCAGCUUGGAUGGAAACCAAGCGCAGAGUGCAAAGGCAAAAGGGUGUUUGACUGCGAGACCCACAAGUCGAGCAGGGACGAAAGUCGGGCUUAGUGAUCCGGCGGUGCUGAAUGGAAAGGCCGUCGCUCAACGGAUAAAAGCUACCCUGGGGAUAACAGGCUGAUCUCCCCCAAGAGUUCACAUCGACGGGGAGGUUUGGCACCUCGAUGUCGGCUCAUCGCAUCCUGGAGCUGAAGUCGGUUCCAAGGGUUGGGCUGUUCGCCCAUUAAAGCGGUACGCGAGCUGGGUUCAGAACGUCGUGAGACAGUUCGGUCCCUAUCUGUCGUGGGCGCAGGAAAUUUGAGAAGAGCUGUCCUCAGUACGAGAGGACCGGGAUGGACGCAUCAAUGGUGGACCAGUUGUCACGCCAGUGGCAUAGCUGGGUAGCUAAAUGCGGAAGGGAUAAACGCUGAAGGCAUCUAAGUGUGAAACCCACUUCAAGAUGAGAUUUCCCAUUGCGCAAGCAAGUAAGACCCCUUAAAGACGAUAAGGUAGAUAGGUCAGGAGUGUAAGCAUGGUGACAUGUUAAGCGGACUGAUACUAAUAGGUCGAGGGCUUGACCGA